AUGAUUUGGGGGAUAAAUGGGGGAUUUUCCAAGAGAAAGUGCACGACUUUCUGGUUAAAUGGUGGAUUUUCGAAGAGAAAAUGUGUGAUUUUGGUUGACAUGUGAGCUUUUUGUCGAGGAAAUGAGUGAUUUUCAGGUUAAAUGGGGGAUUCUUGUAGCGAAAGCGUUUGAUUUGGGGGUGAAAUGGGGGAUUUUUGAAGAGAAAAUGAGUGAUUUUCACGUUAAAGGGUGAUUUUCCAAGAGAAAAUGCGUGAUUUUCGGGAUUAAUGGGGGAUUCUCGAAGAGAAUAUGGGUGAUUUUGGGGUUCAAUGGGGUAUUUUUUCCAAGAGAAAGUGUAUGAUUUUCGGGUUAAAUGGGGGAUUUCCGAAGAGAAAUUGUGUUUUCAUCAGGUUAAAUGGGGGAUUCUCAAAGAGAAAAUGCAUGAUUUUGGGGGUAAAUGCGGGAUUUUCCAAGUGAAUAUGCGUGAUUUGGGGUUAAAUGGGGGAUUUUGGAAGCGAAAAUGCAUGUUGUUUGAGAUAAACAGGGGAUUUUUGUAGAGCGAAAGCAUGAUUUGGGGGUUAAAUGGGGGAUUUUUGAAGAAAAAAGGCACGAUUUUCGGGUUAAAUGGGAGAUUUUCCAAGGGAAAAGGCAUGAUUUUCGGUUAAAUGGGGGAUUUUCCAGAGUAAAAAUGCUUGGCUUUCAGGUUAAAGCGGGGAUACUCGCAGAUAAAAUGCGUGAUUUCUGGGUUGAAUGUUUUUUUUUUUUUUUUUUUUUCCGUUUAGAGAAAAGUGGUGAUUUUUGAUUGUGUAUUUUCCCAAGAGAAAAUGCAUGGUUUUUGGAUUAGACGGGGGAUUUUUGAAGAGAAAAUGCGUGACUUUCGGGUUAGAUCAGGGAUUCUUGUAGAGAAAUUGCAUCAUUUUCGGGUUAAAUGUGGGGGGAUUUCUGAAGAGAAAUGGCGUUUUUUCGGGUUAAAUGGGGUUUUUUGAAGAGAAAAUGCAUGAUUUUCGUUUACAUGUGAGAUUGUUGUAGAGGAAAUGCAUGAUUUUGGGGUAAAAUGAGGGAUUCUCGUAGCGAAAGUGUUUGAUUUGGGGGUUAAAUGGGGGAUUUUUCAAGAGAAAAAGCGUGAUUUUCAAGUUAAAAGGGUGAUUUUCCAAGAGAAAAUGCGUGAUUUUCGGGAUUAAUGGGGGAUUCUCGAAGAGAAAUUGCGUGAUUUUUGGG
ensembl:lncRNA